GGCCGUGCCUCCUGCGGGGCAGUCUGACUCCCAAGCCAGACUCCAGAGUCAGCUCCACAGUGCAGCAAGGAGCCCCCUGCUGUGUCUGUCCGCGGCUGCGUGAGAAGAGGCGCUGGGGCAGCCCUUCGCCCAGCAUCUCCCAGGGACCUCCAUUCUGGGUGUGAAGGCGCCUCAGGCCGGCAGGAGAGCCACCUCCUGGGGGAUCCUUGCCUGCUCUCGGGCUCCCCAGGGAGGGGCCUGGGCUGCCACUGGCCCCGGGCAGGACUUGGUGUCGGAGCCCCACCUCACACCUGCUCCUGGGGCCAGGGGAGGCCUCAGGAGGGCGGGGGCGGGGUUUCACACGCUCCCCGUGCCCUCCGUCGGGGGGUCUCUCUCCGAUCCACUCCCCAGCCCACAGCCUGCCCUGGUGCCAUGGUCAUCCUCUUUUCUAAACAGCCUCGGCCUCAAAGAUGAGCUUGAGUGUACACGUGUGUGCGCAAUCCGCGUGGGUGUGUCCCCCCGGACGUCAGGGUUCUUCCCCAAACCAAACUCAUCACUAAUUCCAUCCACCCUCCCGGAGCUGAGCUGAGCUGAGCUGAGCCGGGGAGACGGGCUCCGGCCUGUGGCCUGAGGGAGGCCCGUGCUGGGCUCCGUCCAUCCUGACCCCGUCCAUGACUCCUGGGGAGGGACGCGUGGACGGAGGCAGUGGUCACCGGUGUCACAUGCCGAUGCCCCUACGCAGACUGCGGUCUCCCAGACGUGGCAGGCGGCGUGGCCUGCCGGAGAGGGGGGACGCCCCCCUGUGAAGCCAUGCUAUGCAAAUCGCUCGGGGUCAGGCGGCCCAUGAGGAUUGUCCCAGUGUCUGAAGGUGUGGCUAUUCAGGAUUGCUGGUGGUGUCAGGGUUGGUGAGACGUGAGCUGGAACCUUGUUUUUGUUUGUUUCUGGAAAGCUCAUCCUCCAGUUGAAGUUCUAAGGGUGAAUGUGGUGGGGGGCCCAGACAGCUGUGAACUCUCCUCACUGGAAUCCCGAGGCCCCCUUUGGUCCCCUGGCCCCUCGCCUCAUCACUGCCAGGCCCUGCAUCUCGCCUCGUCACUGCCAGGCCCUGCAUCUCGCCUCAUCACUGCCAGGCCCUGCACCUCGCCUCAUCACUGCCAGGCCCUGCACCUCGCCUCAUCACUGCCAGGCCCUGCAUCUCGCCUCAUCACUGCCAGGCCCUGCAUCUCGCCUCAUCACUGCCAGGCCCUGCAUCUCGCCUCAUCACUGCCAGGCCCUGCAUCUCGCCUCAUCACUGCCAGGCCCUGCAUCUCGCCUGCGUCGCACAGCCCGAAGCUGUGGCAGCCAGCGGGGGACACGUCAGCCCCGUCCCUGCUUCCAGGCAGCCGGACAGCUGCCCCUGGAGGCUCCCACCCCCUCCCAGGUGCCUCCCAGAGCUCCGUCCCAACCAACGGGUUAGCAUUAGCUAAACACACAAUCAGCGUCAAACGUCCCUCUUUCGUAGCUUGUAGAUACGACGGGUCCAGAUCGGGACGCGGCCAGCGGAGGCCUGGACUCGGUGCUGGCGAAGCGCUCGGGCAGGUUCAGUGCCUGUAGGGAAUUUCUGUUCUUGUGAACAGGAGACGCCAGCAAGAAUGCCCUGGCCUCGGGCGGUGGGCACCCCCAGCCUGGGGCCACCGUGCCCGUCAGCCCUCAGCACCCGCCACCACUGGCCCAGCAGGCCUUCCCUUUUCUGUGUCCUUCAGAACAUCCCGGGCGCCUGACCUCCCGCCGCCAACGUGUCAGGGUAACGGCAGUCGUCAGGCCUUCCCUACUGUGAGCACCACCCGCACGGGCCUUUGAGAUGACAGCUCUGUUCCCUCCAAGGGGAGCGUCAGGGAGGGGAGUCUCAAUUUCUGUCAAGGCUGAAAGGUGUAACACCAAGAAAGCAAACACAAUCUCCCCCCCAUGGAGCAUCCUGAGAGACAGUUCCGCACAACCUGGCGUAGAUAAGACAGGCCCCCCGCAAAGCGGGGCAUCCCGGGGUGGGGGGAACCUCUGUGUAUAAUUGGAACGCAUUUUGCUUUUCCUUUCUCUCCUUUUCCCAUUCUAAUUUUUUUUUUUUUUUGCAUGUUUCUUUUUGAAAACGGACAAAAUGUGUAGCAGCCCGCAUGACUGUGGUUGUUCUGGGGAAAGAUACUGGAGUAUGAUGUAUUCACACUGCAUCUCUGAGCAUUGCGCAGUUAGACAAACGUUCCAACUUUUUUUGUAAUCGUCAACAGCACAACUAUUUUGUAUUGUUGUUUGUAUCAUUUUGUACCAAAAAAAAAAAAAAAAAGAAAAAAAGGGAAGAGCGUUGACGUUUUCAACGUGUUUUCUAGUGCCAGGCGGUCUUGGCUCCAAACUGAGCAGCAGCUUCGCGGAGGUGCCAUGUGUGGGAGCGGGCUCGGGGUCCUGGCACGCUGCUCCAGGGCAGUAAAUAAAGUCCCCCUGUUAAGUGGUCGCCUGACCCUGGCUUGUUUUUCUCCGAGUGUCCCAUCCGCUCAGGGGCAGCAGAUGGAUGAACACGGGGGCUGAGGUGUCGAGAGGGGGUUUGAGCACCUGCUGUGUCUCAGGCUCCGCCCUAGGCUCUGAGGGCACAGACAGCAACAGGACCAGGCCCACUCCUCACACCUGUGAGGCCCCGGGGACGCGCACAGAUGAAGGCCCACGGGCCAUGUGUCUAAAUAUACCGACGUUCUUAGAAGGUCUAAACCAAGCUAACAAACCGCUCAGCGAGGUGUGCUCCCCCUCCUACCUCGGCGAUACACCUUCCUGCCACCGUGAGAAGGCUGGGUCAAGUUCAGGGUUCUCCUGCCCCUCGGAUUCUCUCAGGGCCCAGCCUCCUCCCCGCCUCCAGGGACUGCAGGCCCACCCCUGACGCCAGCCAGAAACCCACGGGCCAGCGGGUCCAGUCCUCAGCAGCUCUGGUCACGUGCUCCAGCCUGCCCUUGACCGCUGGCCACAAAGGUGCAGAGGGGAGCCCCCGGGUUCAGUGCCAGACUCGCUGGGGCUCUGACCACCUCAGGGAAACAGCUCAGAAAGGCUGAGGGGCACCCCGCUCACCCCACUAAUAAG
rnacentral:lncRNA from 1 species